CGGGCGGACGGGUGAGUAACACGUGGAUAACCUACCUAUAAGACUGGGAUAACUUCGGGAAACCGGAGCUAAUACCGGAUAAUAUAUUGAACCGCAUGGUUCAAUAGUGAAAGACGGUUUUGCUGUCACUUAUAGAUGGAUCCGCGCCGCAUUAGCUAGUUGGUAAGGUAACGGCUUACCAAGGCAACGAUGCGUAGCCGACCUGAGAGGGUGAUCGGCCACAUGGAACUGAGACACGGUCCAGACUCCUACGGGAGGCAGCAGUC
rnacentral:rRNA from 1 species